AUCAUGCUAUGUGCAGGCUGGCAGUAAUAUUUUGAAAGCUAUGGGACCUUCAAAAAUCGGGGCCCGGCUGGUGCAAGAAAGGCACCAGGCCUUUGAAGGUUCUAUCUGCCAUUGGUUCUGACUGUUCUCUACUUCCAUCUGUCACAUGCAAACAAGCCACCAUUAGAGGCCAUGGAUGCAGCCAAGCUACCAUGCCUUUCCCCUUAAAAUGGGUUGAAAUCCCUUGGAAACGAUUACUUCAUCUCUCAACCCUCAUCAGAGAAGCUUCUUUUUGCAGCAGAUGCUGAUUAAUGCAGAGACUCACAUCCAGUUAACAUGCAAAUAAUAAAAGACUGUGGAAUGCUCAGCUUUAAA